ACAAAAUUCGAUGUGACGGCUGAAAAUUUUUACAAAAUUUAUAAGUAACUAAACAAAACCUUGAUGGAAGAGCAGGGCCUUGCAUUUGCAUGGUUUGGUGGCCGGCGAUUUCUUUGUUGGUCUAGCUGCUUCUUCACACGAAAGUUGCGUGAAACCUCUGCCUAAUUUCAUGAUCGUUACAACUUGCAACUGAUGUGUGGUCACACGGCCGGACUUCUUAGUGUGUGUACGUACUAGUCAGUCAAGUAUGUUCCAACUGUGGAAGAAAGCUAAGAUUUGUUUCGUUACAGUUAUUACAAGGAAGUCGCCAUAUCCGUUGACGGCAUGCAGUUCCCAUUGCCAAGUCCGUUUUAUCAUGACCUGAAAGGUCAGUAACAGAAAACACACAGAGAUAUUUCUCUACUAAAUGUACGUCUUCUGGGUACACCCUUUUAUUCCUUUUUUCUUUCUGGUAGGUAUAACAAAAAAAAAUGAGGCUCUGUAUAGCAAAAAAAAAAAAUAUUGUUGUAGCUUAUUCUUCACAUAAAAGUUGCAUGCUUAUACAACUGCAGAGAUCAAAUAUUAAUAUAUUACCAAUUUUAUGAAUUAUGUAUCAAGCAUGACAAUCACGCUUGUUUCCAAUAUCCGCUUAUUAGUUAUGCCUAUACUUAUUUAUAUAAAGCAUAUGGCUGUAACCAUAUGGAUAGCGAAUAUUGUGUCCAUAAUACAACGG
rnacentral:lncRNA from 1 species